AACGAACGCUGGCGGCAUGCCUAACACAUGCAAGUCGAACGAGACCUUCGGGUCUAGUGGCGCACGGGUGCGUAACGCGUGGGAACCUGCCCUUAGGUUCGGAAUAACUCCCCGAAAGGGGUGCUAAUACCGGAUAAUGUCUUCGGACCAAAGAUUUAUCGCCUUUGGAUGGGCCCGCGUUGGAUUAGCUAGUUGGUAGGGUAAAAGCCUACCAAGGCGACGAUCCAUAGCUGGUCUGAGAGAAUGAUCAGCCACACUGGGACUGGGACACGGCCCAGACUCCUACGGGAGGCAGCAGUGGGGAAUAUUGGACAAUGGGCGAAAGCCUGAUCCAGCAAUGCCGCGUGAGUGAUGAAGGCCUUAGGGUUGUAAAGCUCUUUUACCCGGGAUGAUAAUGACAGUACCGGGAGAAUAAGCUCCGGCUAACUCCGUG
rnacentral:rRNA from 1 species